AGCAGUCGCCGCGGUAAUACAGAGGGUGCGAGCGUUAAUCGGAUUUACUGGGCGUAAAGCGUGCGUAGGCGGCUUCUUAAGUCGGAUGUGAAAUCCCUGAGCUUAACUUAGGAAUUGCAUUCGAUACUGGGAAGCUAGAGUAUGGGAGAGGAUGGUAGAAUUCCAGGUGUAGCGGUGAAAUGCGUAGAGAUCUGGAGGAAUACCGAUGGCGAAGGCAGCCAUCUGGCCUAAUACUGACGCUGAGGUACGAAAGCAUGGGGAGCAAACAGGAUUAGAGACCCCCGUAGUCCCUGUCUCUUAUAU
rnacentral:rRNA from 1 species